ACAUUAACAGCUUUAUUGUCAGUAGAGCCAGAAUACAGAACACAUUGUAACCUGGACCUGCAAUCACAAUCAAGCUUGCUGCCUUCUUCCCGGAAUCUAGACCUUGCAAUGCAUCUGCUGGGUCGAGUAUUUGGCAAGGCAGAUACUUACUUAUCUAUUUAGGCAGCCUACCAAAAGAAAAAUUGCUUACCCCUCACUUGUCAAGCCUCAAGUGUUGGGAAAGAAUAGUGUCACAUGCAAUUGGUUUUUAAUACAGGUAUUGCACUCACUUAAGAAAUGGAAACAGGCAUGAGCCACCACACCUGGCGAUGUUGAACUCUUGCCACUCACCAAUCAGAAACAUAAAUUCUCUUUUUUCCAAAGAAAUAAUAACCUUAUAGAAAUGUGAGAAUAGAGUUCCCUUUGUCAUUGAGCAUACCAAUUAGUUUUAAAAACCAUUUCUUUUAUUUCUUCUUGAGUUAUUUUCUCUAUUAUUUUGCCUAUUUAAUUUGGAUUUUCCCUUUCAUAAUGAUUUUCUCCAUGCAUCUAGGAUGCCUAGUGGUCUAUUUAGUUUUAGGGAAAGAUGAUACUAAAACAUUUACUGAAGAAGCUGAGUGUGUAGGUGAAGCUCCUCUGGUAGGCUCUACUCUGGGCAGUAGCCAGCAAACUUUUUUCUGUAAAGGGCCAGAAAAUAUUUUAGGCUUUGCAGGCCGUAAGGUCUAUGUUGCAACUUUGCAAUUCUACCAUAGAUAAUAUGUAAAUGAAUAGACAGGAUGCAUUUCAAUAAAACCUUAUUUGUAAGAAGAGGGAUUGAGCCACUUUGCAGACCUCUGCUCUAAGGCGAAUCAGAUGAGAAGUUGGACCCUUGCUUGGGGUAUAGGUGCUAGGAAUUCUUUGCAGAAGUUUGCAGAGAUGAAGAGUUGCAGCCAGUCUACAUAUGGAAUAAUAAACCAUGGUUGUCUCAUGGUUUAUUAGUGCAUAUGUAGAACAGCUGCAUGCCCCUGUUCAAAAAGCUGGUAUGCCCCUUUUUGUGCUUAUCAGCUCUGAGUCUCAAGUUCACUUUUCAUCACUAUCCUCUUUUGCAUAAAUUAUAUCAUGGCUUUCUCCACCCUGUUACGUCUGUUGCUGCUGCUUUUGUCUUCUGUCUUCUGAAAAUUUGUUGAAAUCUUUCAUCUAGAAUUGUCUCUUUUCCAAUUCUCUUUGUUUGCAUUGAUUUAUAUAUUUUUAAAAUUUAUUAUCCUUUCACUUGGGUCUUAAGAGACAGACAGAAUAAAAAAUAUUUAUGAAUACACUAUAUCAAGAAACUUGUGUGUGUGUGUGUGUCUUUUUUUUUUUUUUUUUUUUUUUUUGAGACAGGGUCUCGCUCUGUUACCCAGGCUGGGGUGAAGUGGCAUGAUCAUGGCUCACUGCAACCUUGACCUCUCAGGCUCAAGUGAUCCUCCCACCUCAGCCUCCCAAGUAGCUGGGACUACAGGCACACACCAACACACCUGGCUAAUUUUUAAAUUUUUUUUGUAGAGACAGGGUCUCACUAUAUUGCCUAAACUGAUCUUGAUCUCCUGGACUCAAGCGAUCCUCCCACCUUGGCCUCCCAAAGUGCUGGGAUUACAGGUGUAAACCGCCGUGCCCAGCAAUUUUUAAUUUUUUGUAGAGAUGGGAUCUCCCUUUGUUUGUUGCCCAAGCUGGUCUCAAACUCCUGGGCUCAAGCGAUCCUCCUGCGUCAGCCUCCCAAAGUGAGAUUACAGGUAGAAACCACUAAAAAACAAUUUUUUAUCUUCAGCUUUUAAGGGGUACAUAUGCAGGAUGUGCAGGUUUGUUACAUAGGUAAAUGUGUGGUGUGGUGGUUUGCUGUACAGAUCAUCCCAUCACCUAGAUGUUAAGCCCAGCAUCCAUUAGCUAUUCUUCCUGAUUCUCUCCCUCCCCUCCUCAACAGGCCCCAGUGGCGUGUUGUUCCCCCUAUGUGUCCAUGUGUUCUCACCAUUCAGCUCCCACUUAUAAGUGAGAAUAUGCACUGUUUGGUUUUCCGUUCCUGCCUUAGUUUGCUAAGGAUAACGGCCUCCAGCUCCAUGCAUAUCCAUGCAAAUGACAAGAUCUUGUUCUUUUUUAUGGCUGCAUAGUAUUUCAUGGUGUGUAUAUAUAUGUGUACAGUAUUUUAUUUGUCCAGUCUAUGAUGGACAUUUGGAUGGAUUCCACAUAUUUGCUAUUGUGAAUAGUGCUGCAGUGAACAUACGCAUCCAUGUAUCUUUAUAAUAGAAUGAUUUAUAUUCCUUUGGAUAUAUACCCAGCAAUGGUAUUGCUGGGUCAAAUGGUAUUUCUGCUUUUAGAUCUUUGGGGAAUUGCCACACUGUCUUCCACAAUGGUUAAACUAAUUUACACUCCCAGCAACAGUGUAAAGGUGUUCCUUUUCCUCCACAACCUCGGAAGCAUCUGUUAUUUUUUUUUUUUUUGACAUUUUAAUAAUUGCCAUUCUGACUGGUGUGAGAUGGUAUUUCAUUGUGGUUUUGAUUAGGAUUUCUCUAAUGAUCAGUGAUGUUGAGCUUCUUUUCAUAGGUUUGUUGGCCAUAUGCAUGUCUUCUUUUGAGAAGUGUCUGUUCAUGUCCUUUGCCCACUUUUUAAUGGGGUUUUUUCUUGUAAAUUUGUUUAAGUUAUUUGUAGACUCUGGAUAUUAGACUUUUGUCAGAUGGACAGAUUGCAAAAAUGUUCUCCCAUUCUGUAAGUUGUCUACUUGCUCUGGUGAUAGUUUCUUUUGCUGUGCAGAAGCUCUUUAGUUCAAUUAGAUCCCAGUCGUCAAUUUUUGCUUGUGUUGCAAGUGAUUUUGGUAUUUGCAUUAUAAAAUCUUUGCCUGUGCCUAUGUCCCAGAUAGUAUUGCCUAGAUUUUCUUCUAGGGAUUUUAUAGUUUUGGGUUUUACAUUUAAGUCUUUAAUCCAUCUGGAACUAAUUUUUGUAUGAAGGUGUAAGGAAAGGGUUCAGUUUCAAUUUUCUGCAUACGGCUAGCCAGUUCUCCCAGCACCAUUGAUUAAAUAGGGAGUCCUUUCCCCAUUGCUUGUUUUUGUCAGGUUUGUUGAAGAUCAGAUGGUUGUAGGUGUGCUAAAUUCUUAAUACUGGGGUAAUAUUAAUUAGUUUAUUUUUACUUUCACUAGCUUUGAACCUAUUUAAAAUGUUGUUUGUUUUUAAAUUAGUAUCAUCUUUUUAAAUCCUAUGUAAAAAGUUUCCCUUCAGGUAGGCAACUCACUCCUACCACAGAAGUUGAUUGCAGGCCCACAUAUAUAGGCACAAGCUGGGUCAUUCCCAAUUUCCAAACCAAUCUUACCUAAAAGUCUUUUUUCCUCUAAGGUGUUCCCUAGAUUGAAUAUUUUCAUGAAAACAGAAACAUUAGCUUUCAUCAGGGUCUCUACGUCACAAGGCCAAGUUCAGAUGCUGAACACACAUGAAUGGUCAGUGUGUGAACAGUGUCUGAAUGCAGUAGAGCUCUGGUGGGUGCCACUAGGACUUCUGCCCAAUUAAGUGUUUUCCUCUUCUCAAUAAGGUCCAAAGUUUUCCUACAGAAAAGCAAAGCAAGACUUGUAGAAGGGAAUUGUGACUCUCAUGAAGAAUCUUAUGGAUUUCUGAAGGUAUCGUCCAG
rnacentral:lncRNA from 10 species